rnacentral:rRNA from 1 species
GAUGAACGCUGGCGGUAUGCCUAACACAUGCAAGUCGAACGGAGUUCUUCGGAACUUAGUGGCGGACGGGUGAGUAACACGUGAGGACCUACCUUCGGAAUGGGGACAACAGUUGGAAACGACUGCUAAUACCCAAUGUGCCGAAAGGUGAAAGAUUUAUCGUCUGAAGAUGGGCUCGCGUCUGAUUAGCUAGAUGGUGGGGUAAGAGCCUACCAUGGCAACGAUCAGUAGCUGGUCUGAGAGGAUGAGCAGCCACACUGGGACUGAGACACGGCCCAGACUCCUACGGGAGGCAGCAGUGGGGAAUUUUCCGCAAUGGGCGAAAGCCUGACGGAGCAAUACCGCGUGAGGGAGGAAGGUCCUUGGAUUGUAAACCUCUUUUAUCAGGGAAGAAGUUCUGACGGUACCUGAUGAAUAAGCAUCGGCUAACUCCGUGCCAGCAGCCGCGGUAAAAC